CUUCAUGGUUGGUGGUGCAGUUUGUCCGGUGACUCUUCUUCCUGUGGUGGAAGCGUUGCUCGGAGUAGCGAUCUCCCCGAUGGACGUCCAGGUAGGGAUGCCAUUCUUCAGCUGGAGAGCACAGUGACUUCAGACGCUAUGGAAAGAGGCUUCCCUCUGCUCUCAUCAGUUUAUACACAGCGACGAUAGGAACCCAGAGGAGGACAAAUACAGUCAUGCACCAGCCGAGAGCCAAACCCCACCCUGGGAACUUGACUCCACUAUAGGAGGGUGUCUCGAGUGACACCAAUGACCAUAUCAGGAUCACCUAUAGACAACAAGGCAGCCGGUUUCAUAUCACACCAGAUCAGAACGUAAUCGAUGUACUGUAUGUGUGUGAGGAGGUUAAAUCAAAGUUUACAGAAUCAAGACAUGGGGAAGUUAUAUACAUUUUGACAAACAAGCAUCGUGUAAUGUGCGACCAUUUUCGAUUUCUCUGUAAAGCUUUUGAGGCCUGACGCUUCCAGAAAUAUGGUGAAUAAAAUGUUUUGCAUCAGUG